rnacentral:rRNA from 1 species
AAAUGAAUUGACGGGGACCCGCACAAGCGGUGGAGCAUGUGGAUUAAUUCGAUACUAACCGAAGAACCUUACCCAGGUUUGACAUCGAUCGUAAGCCCGAGAGAUCGGGCCCUCUUCCCAAAAGGAAGACGUGAAGACACUUGUUGCAUGGCUGUCGUCAGCUCGUGCCGUGAGGUGUACGGUUAAGUCCGUCAACGAGCGCAACCCUCGUUCUAUGUUGCCAGCGAGUAAAGUCGGGAACUCAUAGGAGACCGCCGGUGUAAGCCGGAGGAAGGUGAGGAUGACGUCAAGUCAGCAUGGCAGUUACGCCUGGGGCUUCACACAUGCUACAAUGGGCGCAACAAAGGGCAGCAAUACCGCGAGGUGGAGCAAAUCCCAAAAAUACGUCCUCAGUUCAGAUUGUAGUCUGCAACUCGACUACAUGAAGGCGGAAUCGCUAGUAAACGCAGGUCAGCUAUACUGCGUUGAAUACGUUCCCGGGUCUUGUACACACCGCCCGU